rnacentral:lncRNA from 1 species
UUGGCUAAGGCACAUAAUGUAUUUUGGGUUCGAUACGUUGUCACUAGGUGGCAGAUUCGUCACAUGAGAUUCUGGUGCAACUAUUGAGAAUUAAAUUGGAUUCGACUUGAUAAGGAACCAAGGACGACUUUGGAUUGGAAAAAGAAGGUCCUGAAAAGUAAGACAGAGUAAGUGGUAAAAGCUUUGUGAAGGAAAUCAUUCAGUAGAAAAUUAUGUUGGAGAAAGAGAAUCGGAUGAGAGAGAUUUACCCGAA